AAUAGAUGACGCCGUUGACUUUUUAUCACACGUUUGACCAUUCGUCUUAUUCAAAAAAUUUACGUAAUUAUAAUUUAUUUUGUUGUGAGUUGUUUUAUCACUCAAAGUACUUUAAGUAUGAUUUAUAUCUAUACAUUUACAUAAAAAUUUUUAAAUAAUACGAAUGGUCAAACAUAUGUUCAAAAGUCAACGGCGUCAUCUAUU
rnacentral:pre_miRNA from 1 species